UCAAAAGGUUCCCCCAAGGGUCAUCUAGACCAACCCCAAAUUAAAACUGAUGAUGUGGAUGAUAUCUCUGUGAUAGCUAUGCAUUUAGAACAAAGCAUGGAUAUAUAUGACAAGGCGUACACCUACAAUGCAUUAAAAAUAAAUUAAAAUCCUUCCUGGGAAUUUAUUAAUAUUGCCAAGUUUUAAACUCUUUUUGUGGUUUUUCUAUACAUUAUAACUGCAUUCUCAAUUCGCUUCUGACGCAAUAAAUAACAUGCAUUUUAUGCAGCAGAAAUGUGUAUUAUUAUUGUUAUUACAGUAGAGUCUCACUUAUCCAACAUAAACGGGCCGGCAGAACGUUGGAUAAGUGAAUAUGUUGGAUAAUAAGGAGGGAUUAAGGAAAAGCCUAUUACACAUCAAAUUUGGUUAUGAUUUUACAAAUUAAGCACCAAAACAUCAGGUUAUACAACAAAUUUGACAGAAAAGGAAGUUCAAUACGCAGUAAUGCUAUGUAGUAAUUACUGUAUUUACGACUUUAGCACCAAAAUAUCACCAUGUAUUGAAAACAUUGACUACAAAAAUGCGUUGGAUAAUCCAGAACGUUGGAUAAGCGAGUGUUGGAUAAGUGAGACUCUACUGUAUUUGUUAUUUUGUUUUUUUCCAGGGCCGCAAUGAGACCAACUUCUUGCCGGACGCCUCUUGGGUCCGAGGCUGGAAGGCCCUCCUUUCCAAUGUUGGAGGGGCGCUUUUGGGCUUGGAAAAAGCUUUGGGUCCCCGGAACCCCUUCAAAGUGGGCCAAGGGGUCCCGGCGGAGGCCAUCAGUUGCCGGGCGGAAAAGAAGGAGGCGGCAACAGCAGCAGAUCGGGGCCUGCCCCAGUGCGUCUCCCUUUUCCUCCCCGAAUUUCCCCUCCGGCCGCCGGUGGGGCAGCGCCAGCUCAAGAUUUUGGGUUUCGUAGCCAAAGGGUCGUUUGGGACGGUACUGAAGGUCCUGGACUGCGGUCAAGGGCAGGUCUUUGCGGUCAAGGUAGGUAAGCAGGGGAAUCCUGGGAGUUGUAGUUUGGGAAGAGCCUUGGAAGAUAAGAACUUGGGAUCCCACCGUUCAAGCAAGGGGGGGGGGGUCACCCUUUUUGGCUCAAUUCUUCUGUCCCGUUUUUUGUAGGUCGUCCCAAAAGUGGAGGUUUUGCGCCGGGACACACUGAAGCAGUGCAAAGAAGAGGUCAGCAUCCAGGUGGGUCCCCGGAGAGGCCUAUGGAGAAUUCCCAUCUGAUAGGAGGUUCCCAUGGGAGCAUUCCGAGUAAUAAUAAUAAUAAUAAUAAUAAUAAUAAUAAUAAUAAUGCAUAGCUGGGGAUUUUUUUGUGUGAGUUUUGUAACCCUUUUGAUGCCCCUUUGACUCCCUUUUCAUGCCCCUUUGGACCCCAUAUACACAUACAUAUAUACACACAGUAGAGUCUCACUUAUCCAACAUAAACAGGCCGGCAGAAUGUUGGAUAAGCAAAUAUGUUGGAUAAUAAGGAAGGAUUAAGGAAAAGCCUAUUAAACAUCAAAUUAGGUUAUGAUUUUACAAAUUAAGCACCCAAACAUCAUGUUAUACAACAAAUUUGACCGAAAAAGUAGUUCAAUACACAGUAAUGCUAUGUAGUAAUUACUGUAUUUACGAAUUUAGCACCAAAAUAUCACGAUGCAUUGAAAACUUCGACUACAAAAAUGCGUUGGAUAAUCCAGAACCUUGGAUAAGCAAGUGUUGGAUAAGUGAGACUCUACUCUCUCUCUCUGUGUGUGUGUGUAUGUAUGUAUAUCUAUAUAUAUAAAAGGGUAAUGAAAUUUCGGCCUAGGACAAAACAACAAAACUACACAUCCCAGAAACACUAAACUUGAAACACUAAACUCAUUGAUGCCUCUACGUUCAUACAACAAAAAGCUCCAGCUACUCCAGAAAACAGCCAGGCUUUGAGACUGCAAGGCUAUUCACUGCUAUUCUACCUGCCCAACAAAGGAUUCCCAUAAGCCACAGCAACGCGUGGCCGGGCAAAGCUAGUGUGUGUGUGUGUGUGUGUGUGUGUGUGUGUGUGUGUGUGUGUAUAUAUAUAUAUAUAUACUAGCUGUGCCCGGCCACGCGUUGCUGUGGCUUAGUCUGGUGGUGUUGGUCAGUCUACAUUAGGUUGUAUUUAUGCUGUGACCUCCACCCUUCUUUAUACUCACAUUAGUAGUAGUAUUUAAAGUCUGUUACCUUCUUCAAUUUUUGUGUUGAUUGAUAAUUGCUUGAGAUCCCUGUUGUCUUUGGUUUGUUGUUAAUCGUGACGUCUGAAUCUGCUGAGUGCGGUUUAUAUUUUUAUUGUGGUACAAUAGUCCUUUUUUUUGUUUUGCCUGUGUUGGUGUUUAAUAUUAUUGUUGUUGUAGUGGUCAUGAAGGUUGGAUAAGUUAGAUGCUACUGUAUUGUUUUUUGGAGGCCCAGUGUAGCACUGACUGGCCUCUCAGCCUCAGUGCCUGGCUGUUUCUUGCCUGUGAUGGUGUUGAUUCUUAUUGUUGUUGUUGUUGUCAUUGUUAUUA
ensembl:lncRNA